CGUACACUCCUACGGGAGGCAGCAGUGGGGAAUAUUGGACAAUGGGCGAAAGCCUGAUCCAGCAAUGCCGCGUGAGUGAUGAAGGCCUUAGGGUUGUAAAGCUCUUUUACCCGGGAUGAUAAUGACAGUACCGGGAGAAUAAGCCCCGGCUAACUCCGUGCCAGCAGCCGCGGUAAUACGGAGGGGGCUAGCGUUGUUCGGAAUUACUGGGCGUAAAGCGCGCGUAGGCGGCUUUGUAAGUUAGAGGUGAAAGCCCGGAGCUCAACUUCGGAAUUGCCUUUAAGACUGCAUCGCUAGAAUCGUGGAGAGGUGAGUGGAAUUCCGAGUGUAGAGGUGAAAUUCGUAGAUAUUCGGAAGAACACCAGUGGCGAAGGCGACUCACUGGACACGUAUUGACGCUGAGGUGCGAAAGCGUGGGGAGCAAACAGGAUUAGAUACCCGGGUAGUCCCAU
rnacentral:rRNA from 1 species